GAUCACACAACUGUACUCCAGGCUGGGAAACAGAGCAAGACUCUGUCUCAAUAAAUAAACAGUCCCCCUAGGUCCAUGCGGGUUACAUAGUGACACCCCAAACAGUGACAGAAUUGGGCGCUCCACAAGUGGCUUCCGAACAUGGGGACUUCAAGGAUGUGAACAAAGAAGUGUACAGCUAUUCUUAUAAAUGUUGAGGAGAGAAGAUGGUGAGAAAGGAAUGCAGAAAUGACAGACUGACCAAGGCAUUUCCUUCCAUGCUGACAGCAGUCACUAGGGGUUGCUCUCAGGUACUGUUUUGUGGAGAUGUCCCCACAUUAAGCGAUGCUUUCUUCUAUGACAAUUUUUAAAGCCUAUGCAUUACUUUGUUCCAUGUACAUCACAGGGAAGCUCAGUUUUAGCCCAGAAUUUAACUUGGAGACCCAGCUGUCUCCCUCAAGCCCCAAGGACUGGUUGUUCUGCUUACUGAGUGAGUCUGGUGUUUGCCUCAUCCUAAUGGCUCCAACAGAAAGACUGAGAUACCCACCUGUGGACACAGACAACCACCUUACAGACACAGAAAAGACCAUGAGACUGGGCUCACAUGAAAGGAAACAUCCACACUGCGUUUUCUUAACAGGGUUAUGUCAUUUUUUUUUUUUUUUUUCAU